CAAAGUUCAAUCCUUUGGCUUUGUCAUCUCUUGUUACGAAUCUCAUUUUGAUUUCGAUGUGAUUUUUAACUAACCUGAGAUCCAAAGAAUUUCUCCAUUUUCUCUAAUAUUUUCAAGACUCGUGGUUUUUUUCUUGUUAUUUUCUCCAAUAUACUUUCCCCAUCUUAUCCUUUCUCUUAUGAUUUUAUCCCUUGUUUUCGGUUUGGCUUGUUUUCUUAUUCCUGCUCCUCUUGCUCUGUAAUCAAUAGCUGCUUGAUCCUCAGUUGAGUUCUUGCAGAAAAACUUGCUUUUAGGAUGGUUCUGUUCUUAUUUUGCUUUGAUUUGAUUUCAUUUUACCUUUCUCGGACUUUUGGCUAAUUAGAUUUCAAGUGGAGUAUCCGUUCUUAUCGGUUUAAUUUGAUUUCAUUGAUAUGCAUGCAGGUUCUUUAUGCUCAGAGGUUUAUUACAUAUAUGGGCUAUCUUCAUUCAUCAGCUCAACUGCGGUAGUGAGGUGGAAGGAGGAUUUGAUCGAGGAAAAUUGAAUCGUUGAGGAUCAUGGGUAAUCCGUAUGAGGCAUCAAACGGCCACAUAGUUGCGAGACAAUCCAAGGUGUCACUACCCUGGCUUGAUGUAAGAGUCUUUUAUGUUAGAAUUAGCAAAUGUGAGAUCGAUGAUUCUGCUCCCGAGUUCCUCACAGUAAAUCACUUUCCAUUGGAUCCUGAUACCCUUCUUGAAGUUAAUGGUGUUAGAACUAGCAUCUAUUCAGAUGGGGCAACAACCCUUCUCCGAAGGGAUCGCUUGGAUAAGAAGUCUGAAGAAGCCACUUUUGUGAGCACUGACAGCAUAAGGAUGACUGGAAGUGUGAAGUUUGAGGUUUUCGACAAGGAUGUUGUCGUGCUAUCUGGGGUUCUAGAACUAUGUGAUAGUAAUGGUUUUGUUGGGGAAACAGAUCGUCAUGGUCAGAGAUGGAGCAUGAGUUGUGAAUCAGAUGUAGUUGCAAGCACUGGCUUCUUUAAAGGAAGGCAAUUCAUGGGGCCAGAGUCUACUUCACCCUCGAUUGAGGUAUACAUCGCAGGGUCCUUCUCAGGCACUCCAAUAAUUUUGACGAAGACUUUGCAGCUCGGUCUUUGGAAGAAGCAUGCGAGGAAAGGGUUAUUGGAUUCCAUACCAGAGUAUGAGGCAACCGAAGACCAGAAAAACAAUCCUCCUCCUAGGUUUGCUUUUCAGUGUUUAUUUGCUAUUAUAUGGUGCAAAUCAUCAACAGACCUCCCACAUGGCGUGCUCUUGUUUUAAGGCCUCCUUUGGUGUCUAGGAUUCGACUGGAAUGGAUUACUAACCCGAUUCAGCGUGUGUAAAAAUUAAGAAAUGGAUUCCACCCUUCAAAUGUUGUCUGCGUUGAAGUUAGAAGAUGGAUUUGUCAUACACUGAAUGCAUCCAUUUUCUCAUUCAGCAUACAUUAAAUGUACGAGUUAUCUAUUCCAAUCCAAUCAUCGACACCAAACAAGACCUAAGGGAGUCGGAGUACUCAGACUACAAACCGGAGAACGGAGAAAAUCACAUGUACUCUAGGGCGGCAUAUUUAGAAGUUGAAGACGGAGAGCUUUCAUGGUUCAAUGCUGGUGUGAGAGUCGGUGUCGGGAUCGGCUUGAG